GAUAAAUUCAGUGUGUUUCUCGGCGCGCAAAGCUAUAAAUAAUGGCACAGAUCAUUAAACCCCGAGAGCAGGCCCAGCCGCCCUGCAAACAAGAUGAAGUACAAACCACCACGUGAGAGGGAAACAGGGAGGCGCAAGGACAGCCCCAGACUCACAGCCAGUGGAUCCCAGCCUGCACCCCUCAGCCCAGGCCCAGUGAACUUACUCUGCAAGGGCCUGCCUGGGCCUCGGGGAGGGAAGAAAGAGCUGAGAGAAGCCUGGAAAAUAGAAUCCAAAUGGAGCAGCAGUGCCAAACUCCAGAUCAAGCAGAACUGACUUCUCGUGCUAAGGGAUGGGAGACGCUGGCACAGGGCGGAUGGCAAACUGAAGCCUAGAGCGGCAUUCUGAGCAGGACUGGUGUGAUUGAAUAUGACCAGGAGCCCCUUCAUGCAGGGCCAGCUGGCAGGUGACAACUCAAAAGAAAUCAUAGGGGGCUGGGGGUUUAGCUCAGUACUGCCAUGCCUGCCUUGCAAGCACAAGGUCCUGAGUUCAAGCCCCAGUACUGAAAAAAAAGAAAAGAAAAAAUAAAUAAAAGAAAUCAUAGAGUGGCUGAAUUGAAAUGUAACAAUGCUUCAGAGCUGCUAACCCACUUUCUUCCCCCACCCCCACCCCCCAAAAAACCAGAGAUGACCAAAUAUAUAACACCCUCAAAAGAACCAGAACAGAUAAAGAAGUGGAAUGAGAAAAUGCCCUUGGAAAAGAAACCUAAGAAUGGACAGUUAACCACUGAGGAAUCCAAACUCAACCCUCAACUUCCUAACACUAAAAGUAAAUGAAAGCAAGUAGCAACCAAAAAGACUCCUCACCUAUGCCAGACCAAUUGUGUCUAUGCCAACUGGGUACAGAACAUCAGCUACAUGUCAUACAUCAAAGAUGUGACCAACACCAGUCACUCUACAAGUUCCGGAAGAUUGUGCUUGAGAUGUGGAGCACAUGAGCUGCAGAAGAACUGCAAGGACAUUAGGCUGAAAAAGCUUGAUGCAAGGAGGAACAUAAAGCAGAGGCCAUGGGACAUAGGAGAAGAAGGGCCCCCGCAAAGUUCUCCCCCAGGGUCCCCCCGCCAGGGCCAAGAAACUGAGUCCAAGGUGUCAGUGACAGUCCUUGGAUCGGCUUCCUGCCCCUAAGCCCUUUCAGCCCCCCUCCCACUCCUGAAUGGCCUUUUGGGGUCUCAGCCCCUGCCAGGAAUCAUUCUACCCACUUUCCAUGCAAUGCUGGUGAGAGCUGCUCCUGGCUUCUUCUGUUCAUUAGCACAUCAGCAUGGGGAUCAUCAGCAACCCAAAUAAAUCAAAUGAAAAUAAUAUCCCAUGCCUCCCUGCAGAAACAAAAUCUGCCCUCCCUGUUGGCACAAUUUGAGGCCUGCAGGAGAAAUGAGUACCAGUAAGAGAGUGAUCUCGGGCACAGGGGACAGGGGACAUACAGGGAGGAAGGAAAUGGAUCCUUGUCAGGGAAAACUCCAGACCUGCAAGCUGGGCUCCCUCCCACAAGUAAUCACAAAAAUGCUAC